rnacentral:lncRNA from 1 species
ACGAGUAGACCUUGGAUGGCCCACUAAGGGACAUACUCGGAUGUGAUCAGGAUAAGGGAUAGGUGUAUUCCGCUCGGACUAGUCAAGUAUGAGUAUGGAAAACUACUCGGGCCAUACCGAGUAGAACUCUGUAAUAGUACUCGACUAGGGCUCGGACUUGUAACCCUGCCCUCCCGUGUAUAUAAGGGCGGGCAGGGACCCCCCCCUCAAAGAAGAACAGCUCCAGUUCAUCCAAAAUCAAUACAAACAAACACACAGGACGUAGGGUAUUACGCAAUCUAGCAGCCCGAACCUGUCUAAAUCGUGUUCCUUGCAUCACCAUUGAUUCCUUGAUUCUCGACGAUCC